UUGAAAGCAAGCCUCCUCCUUUGUAAACAAAAAACUUUUGAAUAUUUAAUAAAAAACAGAUAUAUUUCAAAGCAAAAGCUAUGGAUGAACAAAACCCAGAAUUAUCAAAUCUACCAGAACAGGUAUAUUUAUUUACGAUUAUGAAUAACUAAAUUCAUAAAUUCCUAACAAUCAUGAUAUGAUAAAAUAAGUUCAUGAUAGUUACUUUAUAGUAGAAUUAUUCAAAAAAUAGCAUGUUAAGAAGUUUAUUAGCAAAGUGAAAAAGGAGAAAAAUUCCUAAGAAUUAUACCAUCCUAAAGGUGAAACCGGUGAGGCAAGAAAGUCGUGAUAGGGGAGUAGCCAAAGUAGAAGCGCUGUUUAAAUCUGACGAAAUGGUAGAUAAAUUUAAAAUACUUGUUUUGUAUGUAUUUAAGGAUAUAGAAAUUAUAGAUAUAAGAAAAAUCAUAUUGAAAAAAAUAUUUGAUAAAUAUUUUAUGACUAGAAUAAAUUACAUACCACACCUACCUACUUCUUACAAAUACUUACAUACCAAACCUACACAUCAACAAUGACAAAUUACGUAUAUUUAGAAUAUUGAAAAAUGGAUAUGAAAAAUAUACAAUUAAUAGAAAAACUAACGAAAACAAAUUUAGAAGAAUACAUGAGAACUAAAGAUAUAAAAUAUAUAGAAUUCCUUAAUGAAAAUAUAGAGGAAUUAUUAAGAUUUAAACAAACAACUAAUAAAUACUAUGAUAAAGCAAUUAAUUACUAAAAUGUUUUUUUCAUUUUUAUUUCUUCUCUAUAUUUUUCACAUAGAUUUCUAUACCAUUGUUGUAAAAUUUUUAUUCUUGCUCCUUGAUAAAAAAAAUACGCUAAAAUUUAAUUCAGGGGUAGUAGAAUCCUGCGAAGUUGGAGUAUGACGUAACAAAUUUGGUCAUAGUUCAGGUAUACUAGAUGGUUCAUUUGUAAUAUUAGCCUUCAUAUUUAUGAUUUAUUAAAGAGUGUGUAAAGAGAGAAAUGAUCAACUAAUAUGAUACGGAGAGUACAAAUAAACUAGUACCAAGUACUACUCCUUGGUUGGAAUAUUCAAUUGAGGGAUAAUUAAGUUGACAAUACGCAUAGCAAAUAGGAAGGGUGCAUUGAUUUUUUAAUGGCCAAGUGAUAAUUUAACUAACAAUAUCCUCUAAUUUAAGGAAUCUGGAUGAAUGAAAAAUUCCUAAGAUUUCAGAUGGUACUUCUAGCACUGCAAGUACAGUUGACUAACUGCUAGACAUAUAAAAUUGCAGUACACAAGUUUAGUUGUACGUUCAAGGAUUGGCAAUCUGAACAAGUUUUGUGGUGGUUUAAUCAAGUAUCGUGGGCGCAUUUAUUCUAAAAUAAACACAUUAAAUUACGAUGGCGUAAAAGAAGUGUUAAGUGUUGAAUUAUGCAUAGCAUCUCAAAAAUUUAAACUGUUAGAGAAAUUACACUUUUAAUUUUACAGUCUAAAUAUAUAACAUAUCACCUUACUUGUGGACCUCAUUCUUUUCCCAAACAUGAAUAAAAAUUGUCGACCGAACAGUAUAAUUACUUUGUGUUUAUCUCAUCUAAAAUGGAUACACGAUUGCUUACUUAUUUUAGGUUCGAAAAGGUAAAAAAAAAAAUUAGUUGAUAUUAAAUUUUGCGUAAUGAAAAACCAGGAAAAGAAAUUGGACGGGAGAAAAACAAUAUUCAUGGACAGAAAAAAGGAAUUAUAAGAGGAGAAAGAAAGGCAACUAAUUAAAAUGUCAACACUACGAUAUUAUUGUGAUACUAUUAAAAUAGGUAUUGAGCUCGUUUUAAUGAAACAAUGGAGUGAAUAACUUAAAUGAUCACUCAACUUAUGAUUUUUUUCUCUGAAAGUUACUCAAUUUUAUUUCUUACUUCAAAAGUCAAUUCUUAUUUCAGAAAGUCACUCAACUUUGAUUUUUACUUCAAAAGUCAAUUCUUAUUUCAGAAAGCCAUUCAACUUUGAUUUUUACUUCAAAAGUCACUUAACUAUAGAUAUUUUACUUACAAAGUCAUUCAACUUAUUUAAUUAGUUAUUUUUUUUAUUAAAAUUUGCUAACAUGAAAUUUUAUUUAAAACAAAAAUUCUAAAAAAAAUAAUAUUUGAACCAUAUUAUUACUUUAUAUUUAGGGCAAAUCACUAGUAUACAAUUUUAGAGUCUAUAUUACAAAAUCUACCACUAGUUUCAUCUUUUCAAAAUAUACCACUAAAAAAAAAAAAAAUUAUCAAAUAAGAUAAAAAGGAAAAAAAUAGUUAAAAGUAUCAAAAUUGGAUAAAGAAUAAUUGGUAUUCUUUCCUAUAAUUUCUCCUAAUAUAUUUUCAAUUCCAUAACCAAUUCCAUUCCUUUUUUAAAAAUAAAAUUGUUUUGGGAAAAAAUUUAAAAUUACAAAUAUAAAAUUAACAUACGCACACGAAGAACAUGAAAUUUGAAACCAAAAAGAGGAGCGUGUGCUAUCAUCCACAAAUUUCUUAUUCUUAUUCUUAUUAUUUCCCCUCUCUUUUCUAUUUGAUUUAUUUUUGUUUGCUCUUUUCUAUUUUUUCUUCUUAUUAUUAAUUAUUUACCACUUUUUUUUUCUUUUUUUUUUUAUUUUCUCGUGUGUUAUUGAUUAACACAGAAAGAAUAUAUAGUUACCCAUUUGUAAUAGCAUGAUUUAAGAAGAUAAUUUAAUGAUUGAUAUUUUAUCUUAUAAAUUCUUCUACUUUAUUUUUCAACUAAAUUUUUUUUUUUAAAUACUAGUAAAUAAGAUAACCGAAAAACAACAAAUUUAUUUAAUAUUUUUUUUAUGUUUUUAAAUUUAAUUUAUUUAAUUCAAUGAACAUUAAUUUUUAAUACUUCUAAGAAGAACAUCAUUAAUGGUAGUAAAUUCUCCGAUUGAUUCAAACCACAUCUUAUACAAAUUUCGUACACCAUAAAUUUAUUAAUAAACCAUAAAAUUAUUAAAAAACUUAUUUCUAUAUCGAUCAAACACCAUAAAAAUAGAUCAAUUUCUAUACAUUUUAGACACCAUAAAAUUAUUGAUACAUCAAUUUCUAUAUAUUUCAGAUACUAUAAAAUUAUUAUUAUUAUUGAUACACCUAUUUUUUAAGAGUUCAAACACUAUAAAAUUAUUGAUACACUGAUUUCUAAGACACCUUAAAAUAAAAUUGAUGAUAUACCAAUCUCUAUAUAAUUCAGACACCAUAAAAUUAUUAAUAUAUCAAUUUCUAACUAUUUCAAAAAUCAUAAAAUUAUUGAUACACCAAUUUUUAUACAAUUCAGACACUAUAAAGCUAUUGAUACACCAAUUUCUAUACAAUUCAGACAUCAUAAAGCUGGUGAUACACCAAUUUCUAUACAAUUCAUACAUCAAUUUCUAUACAAUUCAUGCACCAUAAAAUUAUAGAUCACUAAUUUUUAUAUAAUUCAUGCACCACAAAGUUAUAGAUCACUAAUUUUUAUAUAAUUCAUGCACCAUAAAUUAUAGAUACACCAAUAUCUAUAAAAUUCAUGCAUCAUAAAAUUAUAGAUACACCAAUUUCUAUACAAUUCAUGUACCAUAAAAUUAUAAAUACACCAAUAUCUAUAUGAUUCAUGCACCAUAAAAUUAUAGAUACACUAAUUUCUAUACAAUUCAUGCACCAUUAAAUCAUUGAUGUAAUUCCCAUCGAUAUCAUCGGACAAUUCUCUAAACUCAUUGAGACUACCCGACGAUCUAAUCUAAUUGGUUUAUUUCUUUUCAACACUCUUUUUUCCAACACCGCAUAAGUACAAGAAUAAUCAGCAGAAAUAAACAUUUGAAAAUAUUCAAAAUCUCCAUCAAAAAUCAUAACCACUCACCAUAAAAUUAUUGAUUCACCAAUUUCUAACUAUUUCAAACACCACUAAAUUGUUAAUACACCAAUCUCUAUAUAGUUCAAACACCAUAAUAUUUUUUGAGUGAAUUUAUUAAGGAUUAACCGGGAACGGAGUUAGGGUUUCGGGAGGAGGACGAGAUGACGUGGCCGGUGGAGUGGGGGAAGUAAUAGAAGGAAGAGAAGAUGUAGAAAAGGAGAGUGAGGACAUGAAAGGCGAGGAGAAAAAGCAGUAGCGGAUGCCUUUCCAUUUUUGAUAUCUGCAUCACUCAUUCACUGCUCAACAACACAGAUGACAAUGGCUAGAGAAUAUUUUUGGAAGUUGGAAAGAGAAAUAUAUAGGAAAUUGGAAGAUUAAAUUGAAGAAUCAGGAGUGAAUUAUUAAUGCGAAUAACAAGCAAGUUUUUUCUUUAAUUUCCGUAUAGCAAGCAAUUUUAAAAAUUCAAAAAACUGUUUUUAUAGUGAAUGAUAGAUUUUGUAAAUAAAAAAUACCUUUUGUAAAUAAAAAAUAAUAGUGGUGAUUUUUGUAAUAUUGAUGCUUAAGUUGUAUAUUCAUGUGAUUUUUCCUUAUAUUUAACCCUCUGAAAUUUUAAAAUAUCUUAAAUAGUUAUACCAAUUAACUUAUAAUGCUAAUAUUGAUUUUUAAGAUUUUCAUAAUCAUAUUCAUUUAGCUGAUUAGAUUUAAAUAACUUUCAAUGUGAUACUUAUUUAAUUUAUGGAAUUGAUUUUUCAAUCAUAAUGCAAUUUUUUGUAUUACUACUUGUAUAAUAUACAUAUGCAUCAAAUAAAUACAAUAAAUUAUAUUCCUAAUUAGUUGAUAAAAAGAAACGCUAUAGAUUUUAAUUAAAAUGAUAUGAUAGAAAAAAUUAACAAAUGUUAUUAAACAUUAGUAUCAUUAUAAUAUUAUACAUUGCAACGAGAUAAAAUUAGCAUUAAAAAUUGUACAAUCAAAUGAUUGUGAUUUUAGAAUAUUAAUUGAAGAUCUAUAUAACUAUAUAUACUUUAGAGUAUAGAGUAAUCAUUGGACAAGAACAUCACGAAAAAUAGUCAUAAAAUCAAAAGUCUAAGAAAUAAAAAAGAUAUUCAUUUAAACCAUUUAAAUGAAUUUUGGGAUAUGAGCAGGUCAUUAAAUUGAUUGUUUAAAUGAAAAUCUUUUUUAUUUCUUAAUUUUUUUAUUUUAAAAAUAAUUACAUGUUAGAAAAUUUUAAUGAAAAUAUCAAUUAAAUAGUUUGAGUAACUUUGUAACUAGCAUAGUCAUAAUUGAGUGACUUUUGAAUUAAAAAUUAAAGUUGAGUGAAAUACUUUUCUUGUUCAUUUGAUGAAAUCAAUUAAAAUCUGACUUCAGAAGUUCUAAACAUACAUAAUAAUAAAAGUAAACACAUCGAACUACACCAAUGGUAAAAUUUAUCCAUAGUCGGUGUUACAUUCGUUGGAGAAAUAACAGAAAUUAUAACAUCAAAUGUAGCAGUAUUUAUUUAUGAGAAAAUGUAAGUGAUGCUUGAGUUAUAUUAGACACGGUCCUAAAAAACUAUAUCAGCAAAAUAAAAUAUUUUUCUAUGAUUAAACAAGUUUUUUCAUAAAAUAAGUAGGAGCAACAUAAUUAAAAUAAGAAAAUCAGCGUAUUAAUAAAUAAACUAUGAUGAGGUAAUAAUUUUGGCUAACUCUUCUGAUUCUUUCUUAGUUCUUUAAAAUGAUGAAGAUAGAAUCCGAGGCAUAUUAGAAUAUUCAAAUUAUGAGUGCACCUGUGACUUAAUAUGAUGUUGAUAUGGAUAAUAAUGUCUUUUGUUUUGAAUUAUUACAUUCUCUGUCUAUUUUUAUUUGUCUAUUAUAUUAAAUAUAAAUAUUCAGUUUUACUUUUUCAAUUUAAAAAAAUCAAGAGAUAAUUUAUCACUUAAUUUCUAAUUUAUUCAUAUUAUUAACUAUAAUCAUUAUUGCGCAAUGUAUUUUUCCAAGUAUUUAAUUUAUUAUAUUUAUAAGGGUGAUAUAGUAAUAUUGCCAUUCUAAAUAUUGAUAUUUGAGUGUGUGUCAAAUCAAUACAGGACAAAUAAAAUUAAACGGAGAAAGUAGUAUUUUAUGACUUAUUAAGUGGGAAAAAUUGGCAUAGUGCCCAUUUUUCAAAACUAUUUUGUCAUAUACCCCCUAAUAUUUUUUUUCAUUUAAUUUUUAGGAUUAGGAUAAAAAAAGUGGGAAAAAGUUGUAAAAGCGUGGGUCAAGGGAUCAUUUCAUCAUUUUUACAACUUUAAAAAUUUAAUAUAAUACACCUAACACCCCUAUUUUUUCCAAUAUUAAAUAAACUCCUUCUCUCUCUUCUCUUCAACUUCAACUACUCUCAAGAAUUCUCUCAAAUUCUAUUUUUUAUUUUUCUUCUUCUCCAGCGGCAAAGGACUCAUUUUUGCGUUGUAAGGUUAGUUAAAAUCAAGUUUCGAUUAUUUGUAGAUCCAUUUUAUCGAUUUUUAUUGUUAACCAUUUCGUAGUGAUGUAGUAUAAAAAAUAUUUUCGAAUGUGGUUGAUUAAAUAGUUAAAAUAUGUGAAUUUUAUACGUAAUUAGCUUGAUUCAAAACAAUGGUUGAGUUUUGAUUCGGUAGUUUCGAUAGAUUUUUUUCGUCCUGUCCAUAGACUUGUGGUCUAUGAAAUAACAAUGCCCUAGAUUAAAAUUAUUUUUUAGGCGUCUGAAUUUUUUUUAAAAUAUGAUUGAUGAAAUAGUGAAAAUUAGAACAUUAAUAGCUAAUUAGUUUGAUUUAUAGCUAUAGUUGAGUUUUGAUACCGGAUGUUUGAUUGAAAAAUUUUCGUUCAUCACGCUGUUGGAUUUUGGUUCAAUUAUGAUAUUUUCGUGUAGUGAACUGUUUAAUGGUAGCGUAAUUCUUAGUUAUUUUGACUUUUUCAGUUGAGCAUUGAAUUAUUUCUGUUCGUAGACUUGUAUGACAAAAUUAUUUUUAGCAGCAGAUAAUGAAGAAGGAGAAGACAAAAAAGAUGAAUAGAAAGAAGAAAAAGAAGAAACAUGCAAAAAAAUGUGGUCAUGAAUUUCGUUGAUUUCAUCAACAAUAACAUUUGUCAUGAUGAGGAAAAAGACAUUUGAAUGGUAAUAUUAUUAAUGUUUAAGUCCCUUUUUUUAUUGGAGAAACAAGAGAGUUGAAUGAUCGUCGAAAUGAUAUAACAAAUAUUUUUUUUUUAUUUUAUGAAAGUUGUUAGGAUUCUGCACUGAUUCUGUUUUUAUCAAACUGUAUUGUUGCAUGAAAUUUGAAU
rnacentral:lncRNA from 1 species